rnacentral:tRNA from 1 species
GCCUUCGUGGUGUAGCGGUAGUACACUCGGCCCGUAUUCGAGAGGUACAGGAUCGAGUUCUGGUGAGGGCA